GAGCAUAUCAAUAAGCGGAGGAAAAGAAACCAACAGGGAUUGCCCUAGUAACGGCGAGUGAAGCGGCAACAGCUCAAAUUUGAAAUCUGGCUCUUUCAGAGUCCGAGUUGUAAUUUGCAGAGGGCGCUUUGGCUUUGGCAGCGGUCCAAGUUCCUUGGAACAGGACGUCACAGAGGGUGAGAAUCCCGUACGUGGUCGCUAGCUAUUGCCGUGUAAAGCCCCUUCGACGAGUCGAGUUGUUUGGGAAUGCAGCUCUAAAUGGGAGGUAAAUUUCUUCUAAAGCUAAAUAUUGGCCAGAGACCGAUAGCGCACAAGUAGAGUGAUCGAAAGAUGAAAAGCACUUUGGAAAGAGAGUCAAACAGCACGUGAAAUUGUUGAAAGGGAAGCGCUUGCAGCCAGACUUGCUUGCAGUUGCUCAUCCGGGCUUUUGCCCGGUGCACUCUUCUGCAGGCAGGCCAGCAUCAGUUUGGGCGGUGGGAUAAAGGUCUCUGUCACGUACCUCUCUUCGGGGAGGCCUUAUAGGGGAGACGACAUACCACCAGCCUAGACUGAGGUCCGCGCAUCUGCUAGGAUGCUGGCGUAAUGGCUGUAAGCGGCCCGUCUUGAAACACGGACCAAGGAGUCUAACAUCUAUGCGAGUGUUUGGGUGUCAAGCCCGAGCGCGUAAUGAAAGUGAACGGAGGUGGGAACCCGCAAGGGUGCACCAUCGACCGAUCCUGAAGUUUACGGAAGGAUUUGAGUAAGAGCAUGGCUGUUGGGACCCGAAAGAUGGUGAACUAUGCUUGAAUAGGGUGAAGCCAGAGGAAACUCUGGUGGAGGCUCGCAGCGGUUCUGACGUGCAAAUCGAUCGUCAAAUUUGGGCAUAGGGGCGAAAGACUAAUCGAACUAUCUAGUAGCUGGUUCCUGCCGAU
rnacentral:rRNA from 1 species